GAUGGUGUACCUUUUUUGCUGAUAAAAUAAUAUUCAGCAUUUAAAAAAUUUUUUGAUAUUGCUAUUUAUCCCUAGAUGGUGUUCAAUGACAAAAACCAAAAUAUUUGCAAAACUCCAGGACAUGCAUCCUUCUGCUGAGAAAAAAAAGUCAUUAUCAAAACAGCCAUCCAACGGAAUUUGAAACAGUAUCUACAACGUAAGGCAAGUCAUCGUUUGACACACUUGACUCCACUCUGUAAAUGGUUAAAAAGUCACAUCUUAUAAACGCAUUUCCAGUGAAAUGAUUGUCCGCAGAGAUGCAGUCCCAUAGAAUAAAAUCCUAGGAGGAGUCUGUGAGGCCUCGGAAAUGAACUCAUCUCUCUCUGACAAAGACACAGAAAUUCCAAGCUCAUAUUUGCAAUAUGUGGGUUCCAUGACGUCUGCUGUGUAAGUUGCAGACGGAGAAUCCUGGAGGCGAGAUGCUGUUUAUGAGUCACGGGCUUCUUCCAUCCGGACCGGCUGACGGCUGCAGCUACCUUCUAUCAUUAGCAUUUUCCGGCAGUACUGCUCCAACUUUGGUGUGCAUGAGACCACCUGGAGAGCUUGUGAAAUCACAGACUUCUGGGCUCCACACUCCACUAAGUACCUGGAACUAGUGGAUACACGCCAAGAGUUCAUAGUCUUUUUGGCUCUGCCUGAGCAUCUGGGCGGCCAUGGCUACCCAAGUUCACCAGCAAGCCUUUGGGUGAACCCACUGGCCUCGACAUCCCACCUCAGACUCUCUGGGUCAGAGAGUGACCACUGCCAAAGCAUCUGGAAACCUUCUGGCUGAGUUGCUUGGCCUGAAGAUACACAGCUCAAGCUCCUCCCUCCUUUUCUCUAACCCUAAUUUUUCACUUGUACAAAUACUCUGUUUUUAC
rnacentral:lncRNA from 1 species